rnacentral:rRNA from 1 species
CAGGCUUAACACAUGCAAGUCGAGGGGCAGCAUGGUCUUAGCUUGCUAAGGCCGAUGGCGACCGGCGCACGGGUGAGUAACGCGUAUCCAACCUGCCUUACACUCUUGGACAGCCUUCUGAAAGGGAGAUUAAUACAAGAUGUUAUCAUGAGUAAGCAUUUUCGCAUGAUUAAAGGUUUACCGGUGUAAGAUGGGGAUGCGUUCCAUUAGAUAGUAGGCGGGGUAACGGCCCACCUAGUCUUCGAUGGAUAGGGGUUCUGAGAGGAAGGUCCCCCACAUUGGAACUGAGACACGGUCCAAACUCCUACGGGAGGCAGCAGUGAGGAAUAUUGGUCAAUGGACGAGAGUCUGAACCAGCCAAGUAGCGUGAAGGAUGAAGGUUCUAUGGAUUGUAAACUUCUUUUAUACGGGAAUAAACGAAUCCACGUGUGGAUUUUUGCAUGUACCGUAUGAAUAAGGAUCGGCUAACUCCGUGCCAGCAGCCGCGGUAAUACGGAGGAUCCGAGCGUUAUCCGGAUUUAUUGGGUUUAAAGGGAGCGUAGAUGGGUUGUUAAGUCAGUUGUGAAAGUUUGCGGCUCAACCGUAAAAUUGCAAUUGAUACUGGCAGUCUUGAGUACAGUUGAGGUAGGCGGAAUUCGUGGUGUAGCGGUGAAAUGCUUAGAUAUCACGAAGAACUCCGAUUGCGAAGGCAGCUUACUAACCUGUAACUGACAUUGAUGCUCGAAAGUGUGGGUAUCAAACAGGAUUAGAUACCCUGGUAGUCCACACGGUAAACGAUGAAUACUCGCUGUAGGCGAUAUACAGUCUGCGGCCAAGCGAAAGCAUUAAGUAUUCCACCUGGGGAGUACGCCGGCAACGGUGAAACUCAAAGGAAUUGACGGGGGCCCGCACAAGCGGAGGAACAUGUGGUUUAAUUCGAUGAUACGCGAGGAACCUUACCCGGGCUUAAAUUGCAACCGAAUAUGGCGGAAACGCUAUAGCUAGCAAUAGCGGUUGUGAAGGUGCUGCAUGGUUGUCGUCAGCUCGUGCCGUGAGGUGUCGGCUUAAGUGCCAUAACGAGCGCAACCCUUGCCGAUAGUUACUAACAGGUCAUGCUGAGGACUCUGUCGGGACUGCCAUCGUAAGAUGUGAGGAAGGUGGGGAUGACGUCAAAUCAGCACGGCCCUUACGUCCGGGGCUACACACGUGUUACAAUGGGGGGUACAGAGGGCUGCUACCACGCAAGUGGAUGCCAAUCCCAAAAACCUCUCUCAGUUCGGAUUGAAGUCUGCAACCCGACUUCAUGAAGCUGGAUUCGCUAGUAAUCGCGCAUCAGCCACGGCGCGGUGAAUACGUUCCCGGGCCUUGUACACACCGCCCGUCAAGCCAUGGGAGCCGGGGGUACCUGAAGUGCGUAACCGCAAGGAGCGCCCUAGGGUAAAACUGGU